rnacentral:RNase_P_RNA from 1 species
CGCUUUUUGCAUUCAAAAAGAGGAAAGUCCGGGCUCCACAGGGUAAAGUGCCAGGUAACUCCUGGGAGGCGUGAGCCUACGGAAAGUGCCACAGAAAAUAUACCGCCUUUAUUGUCGCGUAAGCCACAAUUAAAAGGUAAGGGUGAAAUGGUGCGGUAAGAGCGCACCGCGCGACUGGCAACAGGCGUGGCAGGGUAAACCCCACUCGGAGCAAGACCAAAUAGGAAUCUAACUGGCUGCAAGGCUAGAACGUAUGGCCCGUACGGGAUUCGGGUAGGUCGCUUGAGGCAUGUGGUGACGCAUGUCCUAGAUGAAUGAUUGUCCAUG